ensembl:lncRNA novel transcript
UGCAUGGGGAAUAUAGUGGGUCUCUAUAAGAUUUAUAAUAAUAUUCUUGUUCCACUUGCACCUGACCCUUCCUGCCACAAAGUUUUGGUGCAAAUAGGGAUCAUGAGAAUUAAUCAUUGCCAUUAAUCAUCAUGUGUCAUUCCAACAAUUACAACAGUAAAGUAAUUAUUAGAAUGACAGUAGAGUUGCAAUUAUUGGAAUGACACAUGCUGAUUAAUGGCAGUGAGAGUGGGAAACUCCAGCACUUUAGGUAUGAACAACCUAGACACCAGAAAGCACAAAGGGAGAGAUGAGCAUUUAUGAUCUCUUUCACAAUAGACCCAGGAGCCUUCUUCAAGAAGGAAAAAGCCCUGGCGAGCUCUCCAAAACUAUCAUAAAAAUCUUAAAUUGAACUGACUCUUGGACUUGCCAUCACCCCAUCCCUAAACAACUUCCUCUAAAAAUAAGGACUGAGCUCAAUUAUUUGAAAUCUCUGGUGAGCCUAAGACACCAUAUGCAGUGUGGUCUGUUACAUGCAGACCAACACAUGAGGAGGCAAGUUGAACGUACUACCAACCCAUAACCCCAACUGUUACGGAUCUUUUUUAGGUGAGGGGUUCACAACAAUUGCAAAGCACAUUUUGUCUCCAGGAUCACUGUGUUCUCCAAAAAUAUUGCACUUCUUGUGUGGAUGCUGAGUCUUAAUGGACCUUUCUCAUGAAAACAUGACAACUUGCAUUUUAGGGCUGUCAUAAAAGACCUUAAAGAGUUUAAUAAAAUAUCACCAGUAGAUGUACAGGGAUCUAUGUGUAGCACUCUGAUGACUGUAGAGGUGUCUUCAAAUUGAAGUUAUCCUUAGCUAACCCAAGGAAUUUUCUGGAGAAAUAACCAACUAUUUAUGCACACUAUGUGAAAAGCAUUCCCUAUGUUGAUAGUCAAACAAUUAGAAAAGCUGUUGCAAAAUUUGGUUCUUACUUUAGUUGGAGUGAUUAAUGAUGCAACUUCAGGCAAGCCUCAACUCUAAUAUUGUUGAACUGGCCAGUGUUGUUACAAAUAAUGGAAUUGUCCUAAACUUCCUCCAUGGAAGCUAAGAAUGGGCCAGUGCAAUGCUGAAUAUAUCUUGUUGUACCUAUGUUAAUGCCACAUUCCAAGUGAAAAGGCCGAUCCAAACUUAAGGAGAAAGAUACCUGGAUUUCUAAGGUGCAUCCUGAUGGUUUAUAAGACUUGCUAAGUUGGCUGGGUCCGGGCACCUGCCUGUGUGGUUGAGGUCAAUAAUACACAUUGGCCCUAUUCUGCUUAUUAGAGUCCUGUUGAUAGUAAUUUUAAUUAAAUAUUAUGGAAGACAAACUGGACAUAUUUUGUCCAACCACCAUUGAUCAGAUUCAUCGGUGAGGCUAACCAAGUUAUAUAAUUAUGGAAAAAAUCACAAGAAGCCAAGAGUGGUAUCGAAACUAGCAGCAAACAUUGUUGAGAGACAAUUCUCCAAAUAUCUCACAUUUCUGCAUCUAUUACCAUAAAAGGCACUAAUUGUUUUCUGACAAACAGCCUUGGAAGAGAUUGUGUCUUCCUCUGAAUAAAAGGGAAGGUUUGUUUACUGUGUAGUUUAUAAAGAGUAAUGUCUCUCACUAAAGCAAAGGUCAGGGAAACUUAGCUCUCAUUAUAAAAAUUCAGAUUCCCUAUUCUCGAGAUUAUUUUUCUGUAACAGACCCCAGUGCUUGUGCUGGUAUUAUCUGCAUCUCUUCACUCUGUGUGAAUUGGAGAUUGGGGUGCCAGUACAUAUGUGGACACUCUAGCAACUAUUGUUACUGUUAGUAAAAAAAAGCUAUUCCCUAUCUCUGAUCCAUGAGUCAUGUGAGUUCUAUUACCAUUACAACUGUAGUAUCCUAAUAUUUUAGUUUGAGAAGAGGAUAAAAAUUUAAGACCAUAUACAGUUCUUGACAAAUCUUAUUUGAGACUGUAUCAUAUAAUAAGUUUUAUAGUUGUCUCAAGGAAAAGCACUCAUGCAAUUAUUUGUGUUGUAAAUAAAUUAGUCACAUUUUCAUGAAACACACAUUUUUAGUUCAAGGCACAACUGAUAUGUGAAUUGUGGUUAAACAGAUUUCGAUAUUUAGCAUUUUCUUAAAAUGAAUUAAGUGAAAGAUAAAAACUAAUAGUAUACAUUCUCAUGAUAAAAUUAUCCUACUUAUGGAUUCUUUUCAGGAUCAAUCUCCUGUGGUUGCCAUAUCUAUUCCAGUUUUUAUAGUUUCCAGAAGUCCUAGUAACAGUGAAAGUUAAGAACUUGUUGGCACCUCUUUACUCAAAAAGGGAAAAUAGGGACAGAAGUCAUCUUUGUAAUUUGUAUGUGAGUUAAAAAGCAAAUUUAUGGAUAUAUUUUGAAACCAUAGAGGGAUAGGAUUUGGAUCAAAGGUGUAAAUGUAGUUGAAAUGUUUAAUAGUAAUAGAUAUGAAACAACACUUGCCCUUCUCUCUUCCAGAGUCAAAAUCUGAAAAUAAAGUAGCUAUAAUGUUGAACAGCUCUACUCUAAGUCUACAGGGAGAGAGAAAACAAAACAAAUAAUCAGUUCAGCUCACCUAGAUAGAGGACAAGAUUUAUAUUUCAGGGAGAAACAUUCAAAGGCCUCAAUUGCUUCAAGAAGGCAGAUUAAUGAAUAAUAUUGAAAAGUUUGAAAUAGAAGCCAUUAUUCUCAGGUAACUGAAUAUAUAUGCAGAAAAUUACAUGUAUAUUCAGAAUAUUCUAAAUAUGUAUAAAGGAUGUAUAUAUGUACAGAAAAAUUUAACAUUAAUAAGUGAUUUAAAGUCACAGGAUACAAAAGCCAUUUUAUUUCUAUAUGUCAGUUUUCCUAUAUCUAUUGCUACACAAAACUGAGUAGCUUAUAGCUAUAAUCAGUUCCUUAUAUCUCAAUAUAUUGUGAGUCAGGAGUGCAGGUAGCGCUUCGCUAGGAAAUUCUUCUGGUCCACACAGUAUCACCACAAGUCUGUGUGGUGGUGCUGUAGAACAUUCAUGACUGCCUCAUUUACAUGUCUGAUGUCUUGGUGGAAAUGCCUCGAAUCCUAGGCUCAGCUAGGACUGUGGGCUAGACCGCACACACACGGCCUCUCCAACAUCGUAGUCUCAAGAUAGUGAGAAAAUGUACAUGCCAACUCAAAACUCCCAGACAUAGCAUAUCAAGAGACAAGAAGUGAAAAUUGCCUGGGCUGGGAAAUUGGUAGAGGGUAUUUUUUUUAUUAGCAAAAGACAUUAUAGAACCCAUCAAUAUUCAAGGAGACAUGACAAGGACCUCAGGUCUCCAUGAGGUAACUGCCCCAAGAGGAAAGCUUAAGUUCUGUGCCGAGUACUAUAUAUAGAUUUUCUCAUUCAAUUUACUCAUAUAGUCCAUUUCAUAGAUAAGAAAAUCAAGGCACACAAAGUUUAAGUAAAUUGGACAAGGUUUUAAAAACUGACUCUUCAUGAAAAACAAAAAACAAGGAACUUGAAGGUGCCCCUUUAGAGAAGAAAUGAUUUGAUGAUUCCACAUAUAUAAAGGCAAUACCAAUUUCAAAAACAUGUAUUGAUAACAGUAUUAAUCUGUCACACAGCAUAGAGAACAAACUUCAGUGGCAAAAUGACAACUCGGAAAUAGCCACGUGUGGCAAAAAAUCAGUUUAUGUACAGUAUUAAUGAAGCAAUGACUUGAGGAUGUAGACAGGAAAAAUAAUCAUGCCACAAAAUGUCAUAAUAUGAAGCACCAUUGUGUGUCGGGGCGGGGUGGGGGGCUGGGUGGUGUUUUCUUGAUACAAAGAAAGGAAGAACAAAGAAUGCAUGAAGCUUUCAAGCUGGGAAAACUAAUAAAUGUACAUGACUGUAUACAGCUUUCUAAAAGCAGGUACAUUGUGUUAAACAUGAUUUAUAUGUUUAGCUCCUGGCUUGAAAAUGAAAAUCAGCACUGGAUUAGCAAGAGCUGUUGAAUUUUCCUGAGGUCCAACACUACAAGAAACUGUUCAAUGAAAACUUUAUUCCCAAGAAGCCAUCCAACUGGUUUAUAAACUUUAUGCAACUUUAGUACCUGGUAAAUUGAGUGUGGGGGAAAGGGAGCAGAGAAGAAAGAAGGUUCAAUUUACUGGGAUGUAUAAUUCUUGUUUGUAAAUUGUAACAAACACUAGUAAGUAAAGAAAUAAUAGCUUAAGGUGAACAGAACUUUUUCCCAUUAAAUGUGUUUAAUUAGCACAGAUCCUUCUCUAGGGGCCAGGAAAUAAUGACAUCAUGACGGUCCGUGACAGUCCUUGA